rnacentral:rRNA from 1 species
UACGAGGGGGGCAAGCGUUGUUCGGAAUUAUUGGGCGUAAAGGGCGCGUAGGCGGACUGCCAAGUCCGGGGUGAAAUCCUCCGGCUUAACCGGAGAAUUGCCUGGGAUACUGGCGGUCUUGAGGGAGGUAGGGGCACGCGGAACUUCCGGUGGAGCGGUGAAAUGCGUUGAUAUCGGAAGGAACGCCGGUGGCGAAAGCGGCGUGCUGGCCCUCUUCUGACGCUGAGGCGCGAAAGCCAGGGGAGCGAACGGG